GACUACAGUACGUCCCCGGAAGUGUCACCUCCGCAGGGCAACGAAGUAUCCCCCGACAUGUUAACACCUGAAGAUACUACUACGUCUCCACGCACCCAAUCACCGGAAGCGUUAAGUUCAUGUGGUCUCUGACCUCUCUUCGAGGGAACAGCAGUUUGAGCAGCAUGCUUUGUGAUUGUCUUUAAUCGCAUGCCCAACAAUUCGGGUCACAACGUGAAGCAG